rnacentral:rRNA from 1 species
UGCAAGUCGAACGGUAACAGCAGAGCUUGCUCUGGCUGACGAGUGGCGCACGGGUGCGUAACGCGUAUACAAUCUACCUAUUACUGGAGUAUAGCCCGAAGAAAUUUGGAUUAAUCCUCCAUGGUAUUAUGAGAUGGCAUCAUUUUAUAAUUAAAACUACGGUGGUAAUAGAUGAGUAUGCGUCCUAUUAGUUUGUUGGUAAGGUAACGGCUUACCAAGGCAUCGAUAGGUAGGGGUCCUGAGAGGGAGAUCCCCCACACUGGUACUGAGACACGGACCAGACUCCUACGGGAGGCAGCAGUGAGGAAUAUUGGACAAUGGAGGCAACUCUGAUCCAGCCAUGCCGCGUGCAGGAAGACUGCCCUAUGGGUUGUAAACUGCUUUUAUAGAGGAAGAAACCUUCUCACGUGUGAGAAGCUGACGGUACUCUACGAAUAAGGAUCGGCUAACUCCGUGCCAGCAGCCGCGGUAAUACGGAGGAUCCAAGCGUUAUCCGGAAUCAUUGGGUUUAAAGGGUCCGUAGGCGGGCAGUUAAGUCAGUGGUGAAAGUCUUCCGCUCAACGGGAGAAUUGCCAUUGAUACUGAUUGUCUAGAGUUAUUAUGAAGUGGUUAGAAUGAGUAGUGUAGCGGUGAAAUGCAUAGAUAUUACUCAGAAUACCGAUUGCGAAGGCAGAUCACUAAUAAUAUACUGACGCUGAUGGACGAAAGCGUAGGUAGCGAACAGGAUUAGAUACCCUGGUAGUCUACGCCGUAAACGAUGGUUACUAGCUGUCCGGCUCAAUUGAGAGCUGGGUGGCUAAGCGAAAGUGAUAAGUAACCCACCUGGGGAGUACGUUCGCAAGAAUGAAACUCAAAGGAAUUGACGGGGGCCCGCACAAGCGGUGGAGCAUGUGGUUUAAUUCGAUGAUACGCGAGGAACCUUACCAGGGCUUAAAUGCAGUCUGACAGGUCUAGAAAUAGACUUUUCUUCGGACAGAUUGCAAGGUGCUGCAUGGUUGUCGUCAGCUCGUGCCGUGAGGUGUCAGGUUAAGUCCUAUAACGAGCGCAACCCCUGUGGUUAGUUGCCAGCGAGUAAUGUCGGGAACUCUAGCCAGACUGCC